ACGGGCAUGAGACACUGUGCCCAGCUUGUUCUGUUCUUCAUCUAGAAUUUAAAUUAGUUAAAAUUCUAGCUUUAACCAGAAUUCUAGAUUGUAUUUCUCGAUAAUCAUGUGUUCUUCCCAUUUUUAACCUAAAGAAAAUGCCUACCUCACCCCGCACCAAACAGACACACACACACACACACACACACCUUUAAGAUUCUAUUUCUAACUUCAUCAUCAGGGUUAUCACCUUCUCUGAGAUAUUUUGCAUUCUUUACUUUUAUUAUUUAGAGUCUGAAGAUGCUCAUGGUAAAUGCAGAUUAUAGAGCUAACUUUUUGCACAAAAAGCCCACAAAACAGUCUUUGAGAGAGCAUGUCAGUGUUACGUUUGGAUUUUAAAAGACAGUGAAGCUUAGCUGAGAUUCUGUUUUACAGAUUUUGCGAAUAAAUAAAAAGACAGAUUCCGUUUGCUCUGGACUGUGUUAGCUGCAGUGCGGAGGGCGGAACCGGCUGAAGGAACUGCUGUGUAUUUUCAGCACAUCUCAGCCAGCUUCCGUUUCAGUCUUCUGUUUCCAUCACCCACACAGGCAUAUUCAAGAGUUCCUGCUACAUCGAUGUACGCUGGUUUCCCUUUGAUGUGCAGCACUGCAAACUGAAGUUUGGGUCCUGGUCUUACGGAGGCUGGUCCUUGGAUCUGCAGAUGCAGGAGGCAGAUAUCAGUGGCUAUAUCCCCAAUGGAGAAUGGGACCUAGUGGGAAUCCCCGGCAAGAGGAGUGAAAGGUUCUAUGAGUGCUGCAAAGAGCCCUACCCCGAUGUCACCUUCACAGUGACCAUGCGCCGCAGGACGCUCUACUAUGGCCUCAACCUGCUGAUCCCCUGUGUGCUCAUCUCCGCCCUCGCCCUGCUGGUGUUCCUGCUUCCUGCAGAUUCCGGGGAGAAGAUUUCCCUGGGGAUAACAGUCUUACUCUCUCUUACUGUCUUCAUGCUGCUCGUGGCUGAGAUCAUGCCCGCAACAUCCGAUUCGGUACCAUUGAUAGCCCAGUACUUCGCCAGCACCAUGAUCAUCGUGGGCCUCUCGGUGGUGGUGACGGUGAUCGUGCUGCAGUACCACCACCACGACCCCGACGGGGGCAAGAUGCCCAAGUGGACCAGAGUCAUCCUUCUGAACUGGUGCGCGUGGUUCCUGCGAAUGAAGAGGCCCGGGGAGGACAAGGUGCGCCCGGCCUGCCAGCACAAGCAGCGGCGCUGCAGCCUGGCCAGUGUGGAGAUGAGCGCCGUGGCGCCGCCGCCCGCCAGCAACGGGAACCUGCUGUACAUCGGCUUCCGCGGCCUGGACGGCGUGCACUGUGUCCCGACCCCCGACUCUGGGGUAGUGUGUGGCCGCAUGGCCUGCUCCCCCACGCACGACGAGCACCUCCUGCACGGUGGGCAGCCCCCCGAGGGGGACCCGGACCUGGCCAAGAUCCUGGAGGAGGUCCGCUACAUUGCCAACCGCUUCCGCUGCCAGGACGAAAGCGAGGCGGUCUGCAGCGAGUGGAAGUUCGCCGCCUGCGUGGUGGACCGCCUGUGCCUCAUGGCCUUCUCGGUCUUCACCAUCAUCUGCACCAUCGGCAUCCUGAUGUCGGCUCCCAACUUCGUGGAGGCCGUGUCCAAAGACUUUGCGUAACCACGCCUGGUUCUGUACAUGUGGAAAACUCACAGAUGGGCAAGGCCUUUGGCUUGGCGAGAUUUGGGGGUGCUAAUCCAGGACAGCAUUACACGCCACAACUCCAGUGUUCCCUUCUGGCUGUCAGUCGUGUUGCUUACGGUUUCUUUGUUACUUUAGGUAGUAGAAUCUCAGCACUUUGUUUCAUAUUCUCAGAUGGGCUGAUAGAUAUCCUUGGCACAUCCGUACCAUCGGUCAGCAGGGCCACUGAGCAGUCAUUUUGCCCAUUAGCCCACUGCCUGGAAAGCCCUUCGGAGAGCUCCCCAUGGCUCCUCACCACCGGGACAGUUGGUUUUGCAUGUCUGCAUGAAGGUCUACCUGAAAAUUCAACAUUUGCUUUUUGCUUGUGUACAAACCCAGAUUGAAGCUAAAAUAAACCAGACUCACUAAAUCCAUUCCAAUAAUUGACUGGUGGAAGGAAAACAAAAAACAAAAACUAAAAACCUCUUAGCUUUUCUGCAAUUCAACUUUUUAUUUUUAUUUCUAUCAAAGACGGUAGAGAGAAACAGCUUGAUGCUGUUUCUACAUUAAAAAAAAAAAAAAAAAAAAAGACAGACUGUUGGUCUUACUAAGGAUGUUUUUACCAGCCUGCCUGACUUCUGCAAACCUACCCUGUCAAGGAGAUCAAAGGGACGCAGGUUUCUGUUUAUUCUGAACAAGGGCCAGGCCCCGCGGAGUGUCUUUGGUGGAUCCCAGAUAACUCCUAGGUGCUGCUCUCAGACACUGAGGAGUUGAGCAAAUCUGUUCUAUUCUGCAGAACCCACAGGACAAAUAAGAGUUCUACUAGAAUUAACAGCCCAAAAGAAUAGCUAAAGCUAAGUGAAGCCACUUACGUGGGCUUUAAAAAAAUAAUGUGUUAGCUGAUUCACAUGCACUGGAGUUAAUUAGUCUUAGAAAUGUGUGCAUCCAUACAAAUGCACAACAUAAAGUGAACAUAUUCCUAGGCCCUUUCUGCCUGUGUCAGGGCCAGGAAGUAGAGGCUGGGAACUCUUCUGGUCCCCAGUAUGGCAGGCGCCAGGGAGGGGAUGGUGUGGCCCAUCCCUUCUCUGGAUACCUGGCCAGUGGCAGGCAGCAGGGAGGAGCUGGCCGACCCUCAGUGACUGACAAGCCAGCAAUUCUGAGUUCUGGCCUUUGGGAGUCUGCCUGCUCCAAGCCAGUCCACCCCAGCUGCAGCCCCAAAAGCUGGCUCAAAGUCCUUGGGUGGAUUCACUGGAGAUGGGCAACUUAAAACAAGAGAAACUUUAAUUUUUAAACCUAAGUGAUGAUACAGCUCUUCCCUUAGAUUAUCGCCCAGGCUGGAGUGCAGUGGCAUGAUCUCAGCUCACUGCAAGCUCCACCUCCUGGGUUCAUGCCAUUCUCCUGCCUCAGCCUCCCCCCGAGUAAUUGGGAAUACAGGCACCCGCCACCAUGCCUGGCUAAUUUUUUGUAUUUUUAGUAGAGAUAGAUAGGGUUUCAUCAUGUUAGCCAGGAUGGUCUCAUUCUUAUUCUUUAAUGAGAUCAGAGGGUAAUUCACCAAGAAAGACCUCUCCUGUUCCAUUGUGUCAUCCAACAACUGCUCAGAGCUCAAAAUUAUAGAAGGCUUCUGAGCCCCUAGAGAUUUUUAAUUUGCUUCUAAUCCCUGAGGUGGGAACAUCAUGAGGGAAGAUUUGAUUUUCAGAGUUAAAUAAAUUGUAUGUGCUUUUCCAGCCAUCUGGCUCACUCAUUUCUGGGUAAUGCACAUGACUUUGUUUGCACUGGAGGAAGAUGGAAGCUUGCAUGUGUGCGGUGUGUGUGUGUGUGUAAGUGUGAGGUACCUUGUGUGUGACAAGAGACCUCACUUAUGAGAAAGUUGGUGGAUCAGGACAUUCCAGCCUCAGGCGGCUUGGAGCAGGAUCCUUUCUCAGCAGGCAUUCCUUCCACAUGCUAUGGAUGAACCAUGCACAAGAUUUUCGGUUUUUUGGUUUUUUUUUUUUUCUGUUACAGUGUCUUUAGAAACAAGUAGAAGUGUUUUGAUAUAUAAAAGGAAUGCUUCAUUUCUUAUCAUUAUCCCAAAAUUGAUCCCUCCCACAUUUUUGCUUUAAAAAGAAACCUUUUUGGUUUUGUAUUUUAUACAGGAACACAUAAAAUGCAAACAAGUUGUGCAUAUUUUGGACUCUCAAAUAACUACUCUGUCCUUUAAUAAAGUAAUAAUAAGGAAUAGAUGUGCACAUAGUUAGAAAAGUAUGAGUGGUUAAAAACAACAGUCUCCCAUACUGCCUGUUUUCUCUCUCAGAGGGGACCACUAAUGAGCUUCUAAGGGCAUUUCUAGAAAGGAAGAAAAGAAGAUAAGAGGCCAAAGAAGGAGGGACGGGGGUUAUGGAGAGAGACCUUCCCUCUCCAGCACUAACGCUCUGUGAAGGGCGCUGCACCUUGCAUUCUUCAUGUGGGGUUUUGUCUUACAGGUUGUCCCAUAAUAACAUAUAAAGAUCUACCUCAUUCCUCUUAGUAGCUGCUUAGCAUUCCAUUGUCUCAGCGGACUAUCAUUUAUUUGAGUAGCCUUUUAUUGGUGAACAUAUGGAUACUUCCAGUUUUUAUUUUUAUAUACAAAUCUAUAAUUGGCAUACUUGUACAUACAUCUUGACAUAGUUUUGUGACUAAAACGGUAUAAAUUCCAACUUAGAAAUGGAAUUGCUGGGUUUAAGGCUACAUGUAUUUAAAAUUUUGAUAGCUAUUGCCAGAUUAUCUUCUAGAAACUGAUCGAAGGAUGUAACUCCAUCAAGAGUACAAUAAAAGGCCCAAUUUCUCAGCUUUCUAUAAUAGCACUGGGUAUUUUCAAACUUAAUGUUUUUCCCAAUAUAAUUGGUGAAACAUGAUAUUUGCGAAUAUUAUUCUGAUUUUGGUUUAUUUUGUGUAUAAAAUGGGACAUCUUUUAAAAUUUUUUUGUUGUUUUAAUUUUGAUACAUUUAUAUAUUUUACCCAGUUCCUAACUGGGUUAUUUGGCUUUUUCUUAAUUACUUUGCUCAUCCACUUUGGGACAUUUUUGUCUUAUGUCUUGAAAAUAUUUUUAUCAUUUGUCUUUCGAUGUUAUUUAUUGAUUUCCUUAUUUAUUGGCGUAGCGUUUAAAUUUUUAUGUUGUCAAUUUGUGAGUAUUUUUCUUUGUCGAUCGUGGGAUUUGUUUCCAGUUUUUAAAAGCCUUCCUCAUUCUGAGAUUAUAAAUAAACUUACUCGCAUUUUCUUCUGAAACUUUAUGGUUUUAUUGGUUCACCUUCACAUCUUCAGACUCCCUGGAAUUCAUUUGUUGCAGGACGUGAGGGAAAAAUCCAUACUUUUUCCUCGAAAUGUUGGUCAGCAGUAUCAAUAGAUAUGUAAUAAUGCAUUUCUAAAAUACAGUCAUAGUGUUUUCCCCAGUUGUUCAAAAUGCAGCCUUAUUUGUAAACUAAAUUUCUUUAAGUGUUUGGUUCUGUUUCUGUUCUAUUUAUCUCUAUGAAUGCCUUUCACUUCUAAAGCAUUAUUCAUACUAAUAUCAGUAUUUUCAAGUCAACACUCCCAUCAACUCUGAAUCUCUCUCUCUCAUAUGAAUCUUUUUUCAAUUAGAGUCACAAUGAAUUUACAGAUUGAGUCUUCCUAUUCAAAAGCAUGAAAUCUUGUGUUUAAGUCUAAUUUUAUGUAACUUAGUAGUGUUUUAUGAUUUUGUUCACUAAGGUGCUUUGAAUUUAUAGUUGUUUAUUUCUAGAUGUUUUAUCAUUUGGCUAUCAUUUUCAAUGGAAUGAUUUAUUCCACUUUAUUUUCUAUUUUAUCCCAUUGUAUAAGAAAGUAGUUGGUUUUUAUGUAUGAAUGUUAUAAUCAACCACAAAUUGUGAUUCCUACUUGUUUCUAAGAUAUACUUUUGACUUCUCCUUUCCAAUGUGUCUCUUAUUUCUUUCUUGUAUCUAGUUGAUUUGAGAUCAGUGUUGAGUCACAGUGAUUCAGGUGGCAUGCUUAUCUUGUUCGUGACAUCAGUGGCACCUUUUAAUGUCUCAGCGUUUAACUUGUAUGAAGACAUGUAUUUUCCUUGCCAUAAUAAAAAAGUAUCUGUGUGUUCUCAAACUAUUAAGACUCUCUGGGGAAAAUGUAGACGUUAGAUUUUUGUCAAAGCCUUCUCAGUGUCCAGAGGGAUUAUCAGAAGGUCUUUUCCUUUGCUCUAGUAGUAUGUUUAAUUAUAUUAAUAGAAUACUUAAGACCAAAUCAUUAGUGUAUUCCUGAGAUGUUCUUUACUUGUUAGUAUCAUGACUUUGGUUAUCAAUAUUUAUAAUUAAGAUUCAUCAUUCUACAGCUUGCUUUUAUGUGUUUUUUGUCCAGAUUUGAUUUAACUUUAUGCUGACUUAAAGAAAUAUUAUAAAACAAAAACCUCUAUAUUCUACAAUCAUCUAUUGGUUUUGAAUUAUUUUCUGCUUAAGCGUAGAAGAACUAGCUGGGGCUGUCUGGGCCUGCUGUGGUAUAUUUCUGGAUUUUGCUCAUCAGGCAGGUUAGGUCCUCAAGACCUUCUAGAGUCCAUUUUAAUGACAUUUUUAAAAAUA
rnacentral:sRNA from 1 species